GAGGGGGGAAAGGCACAGAGCAAUGGCAACAUCUUACCUAGUAAAAACGUAAAGGACCCCUGGAUGGUUAAGUCCAGUCAAAGGCAACAAUGGGGUUGUGGUGCUCAUCUCACUUCAGGCCGAGGGAGCCAGCGUUUGUCCACAGACAGAUUUUCAGGUCAUGUGGGCAGCAUGACUAAACUGCUUCUGGCACAAUGGAACACCGUGACGGAAACCAGAGCGCACGAAAACGCCAUUUACCUUCCUGUUGCAGCGGUACCUAUUUAUCUACUUGCACUGGUGUGCUUUCAAACUGCUGGUUGGCAGGAGCUGGGACCGAGCAACGGGAGCUCACCCUGUCGUGAGGAUUCAAACUGCUGACCUUCUGAUUGGCAAGCCCAAGAGGCUCAGUGGUUUAGACCACAGCGCCACCCGCGUCCUAUCAUGCCUAGUGAGUGACAACAUUUGGGCAUUUUAAGAAGCCCCAUGCACCAGACAAUGGUUGGGGGACCUUUUUGAGCCUGAGAGCUGCAAACCCUUUUGGGCAACUUCCCAAGGACCACAUGCCAGUGAUGGAUGGGGCUAGAGGCAAAAGUGGGUGGAGCAAUGAAUAUGCAUUUUGCUUUCUACAGUAGGCUGCUUUCUACACACACUCACACAUCCCUCUCUAUCCUCCAAUCAAGAGGCAUUGUCAGAGUUUAGGGACACACUCCAGCCAGGCACAAACACUUGUGGGGUGCAAAGGAGGACCAGUAAUGGGUGUAGCCUGUGGGAAGAGGGCCACACAGAGAGGUCUGGAGGCCCAAAUUCAGCCCCAGGCCUGACAUUCCCCACCUCUGCGCUCUGUUUUUCAAUAUUAUAGGCUUUGAGAUAAUGAAGAUUAUUAUUAUUAUUGCUACAUCCAAAUAUUAUGCAAAUUGCAUUAAUUACAUGUGUGCAAAUAUGUAAAUUAGUAGCAGACCUCAGGCUCAUGAAAUAUUUCUGAUGCAGCUAUCGUUGCUAAAUAAGCUGUCGACUCCUGCGCUUGAUGGAUAGCAACCGGAAAAUGUGGUCUUUAAUUAAUUUUUCUCUGAAAAUUAUUCGAGCCCAUUAAAAUGUGCCGUGAGAAGGGUCUCUGAUUUAGGAAACAUGUCAAGCAAAUAAAUAUGUAGCAGGGAACAAAUGCGUAGGAGAUCAUAAAGCAGUUGAAAAUACAUUCUUAUUAACUAAUAAGCAUUUCCUGAUGUUUAGUUAGAAACAAAACGGGGCGGGGGGGACUCACAUGCAUUUGUUUCAUCUCUGGAAUUAGAUCUUUUUAUCUGCUCCAUCAGUUUAUAGUAAAUGGUCAAAGAAGAAAAAAAGGGAAUAUAAAUACUGUUGCCCUAAGCAGAGAGAAAGAAAAAUUUUAUGGAUUGCUCUAUUUUUUUUCUGGUUAUGCAUGAGAAGAUAAAAGGUAAAUGGAAGCUUAGAGCAUAACUUGAGCUAAGGACACCAAAGCAGACUAUUCUUCAAAUGAUUUGAUAUAGGUCACAUUCACACCAUACAUUUAAAGCACUACGACACCAUUUUAAACAGUCACAGCUUCCUCCAAAAAGUUCUGGGAAGCAUAGUUUGUCAAGGGUGCUGAGAGAUGUUAGGAGACCCUAUUGCUUUCCCAGAACUACAGUUCUCAGAACAGUUUAACAAUCAGUUGCUUUCCAAAGAGAACUUUGGGAAUUGUGGCUUUGUGGGGAGAAUAUGGUUCUCCUAACGACUCUCAGCACUCUUAACAAAAUGGAGCUGCCACAAUUCUUUGGAGGAAGCCAAGACCAUUUGAAGUGGUGUGAAUGUGACCACAGUCAUCAGGUCCAUUUGGAAUAGGUGUAUACCUUCAAACAAAGGUGGCAUGCCAUUUAAGGAGAAAUACAGUGGCAUUAUUUCUUAAUGUAGGCAGUGGGUGGCUAACCUGUGGCACUCCAGAUGUCUUGAUCUGACUCUUGCUCUUGGAGCUGGUGAGGAGUUGGAAUCUAACAACAACUGGAAGACUCUGGAUUAACCACUGCCUGGUGUACACAUGACAUGAUGGAAAUGAGUCUAACAACCAUAUGAACCUGCCUUAUAUUGUCGCAGUCUAUUGGACCAUCUCGCACAAUAUUGUUUUACUCUGACCAGAGGCGCCAUCUUCUUAAGAGGACUGAGGGGGCCUGGGCAGGAUGCCUUGCAACGUCACAACUUCAUGUGUGCGACGCUGCACAAUGCCCUGAUUUUGUGCGUGUGAUGCCACGGGGCAGAGCUGAAUGCCCCCUGAAUAUUGAGGAGGCUUUGCCCCCCAAAAAAAUACUUGGGGGGGGGACAACCUCAACCCUUAGGAGUUGGCAUGCCUGACACUGACCGGAUCUUGGGGUCACAACUAUUUUCUCUCUCUUUGUGUAGCAUGCAUUUGGCAAGCAGACAUUAAAGAGCAAGAAAAUAUUUUAAGAACAUAUUAAUGGAUCUUAUGGGGAACUUAUAGUAUAUAUCCAAGAGCACUGACAACACAAUAGAUCGGCUGCUGUCAAAAAUCAUGGGUUUUGUAACCUUGUUCUUUGGUGGGGAAAUAGUUGGUCUUUCCCAGUUCCUAGUCACAAAUCAGAGCCUGCCUGUUUCAGCCUGAAGACUUCUCCAGGCUUAAGCGAUACUUGCAAAAUAUUACAUGGAAGAUCGUGGGGAAAUGCCAGAAUAUUUGCUAGAGUAUCUACAUUAUCCUGAGUUCUUUGGGUUGAGUUCUAAAAGGUGGAGUGCUCAGGAGUUGCAUCUGUGAUGAGACCCUGAAUGCAGCUUACUAAUGUGAACAUAAGAGCAUAAGAAGAGCCUUUCUGGAUCAGGCCAAAGACCCACCUCCCAGUAGCUAACCAGAUGCCUAUAAAAAGCCCACUAGCAGCACCUGAGCACAGCAGCACACUCCCUCAACUCUAACCCCCAGCAUACUUCCACUGGAGGUAGAAUGUAGCCAUCAAAGUCGAAAUAGAAUGUAGUAUUCAUAGCUUAUGAUUGGUGGUAUUUGCUGGUUUUCCUUUUGAUUGAUUUAUAGUACCUUUAUUUUGUAUGUACAGUGGUACCUCGGCUUACAGAUGCUUCAGGUUACAGACUCCACUAACUCAGAAAUAGUACCUCGGGUUAAGAACUUUGCUUCAGGAUGAGAACAGAAAUCACGUGAUGGCAGCAGGAGGCCCCAUUAGCUAAAGUGGUACCUCAGGUUAAAAACAGACCUCCAGAAUGAAUGAAUUUCUUAACCCGAGGUACCACUGUAUAUGGUUUUCAUUGCUGGAGGGUGUGUGCCUUUGGGUCAAAUAGCAAUGUAUAAAUAAACUAUAACAUAACAGGCUGGCUAUGGUCUCAUGCUGAUGGACAGCCUCCACAUUUCCUCAGCCUGUUUUCCUAAGUUUUCCGUUGUAAAUCUGUGAGCAGGAUCCAAGCAGCCUCAUUUAGUUUUAGGUGCUCGAUAAAUCAUAACUAUUGUUGUUAAAUAUAGAUUUGAGCAUAAGCCAGCUAAAGCUUAAUUCUGAUUUUUUGGAAUAUUUGGUGAAGCCAUCAGGCCAUUUCCUUCUGUUCCAGUUGCUAUCUCAUGUCUUCAUCAUGAACAAUGAAUGGUUGUUGAAACAAGUGGAUACCACAAAAGGCACUGAAGAGAAGCUGACUCGGCAAACUCUCUUCUGAGGGCCAUGAAGUCAUCCCAGCAAAAGAGACUUGGAAUCUUCUUUUCAG